AGUGAACGCUGGCGGUAGGCCUAACACAUGCAAGUCGAACGGCGGCACAGUAAGAGCUUGCUCUUAUGGGUGGCGAGUGGCGGACGGGUGAGGUAUACAUCGUAAUCUACUCUUUCGUGGGGGAUAACGUAGGGAAACUUACGCUAAUACCGCAUACGCCCUACGGGUGAAAGCAGGGGAUCUUCGGACCUUGCGCGAUUGAAUGAGCCGAUGUCGGAUUAGCUAGUUGGCGGGGUAAAGGCCCACCAAGGCGACGAUCCGUAGCUGGUCUGAGAGGAUGAUCAGCCACACUGGAACUGAGACACGGUCCAGACUCCUACGGGAGGCAGCAGUGGGGAAUAUUGGACAAUGGGCGCAAGCCUGAUCCAGCCAUACCGCGUGGGUGAAGAAGGCCUUCGGGUUGUAAAGCCCUUUUGUUGGGAAAGAAAAGCAGCAGGUUAAUACCCCGCUGUUCUGACGGUACCCAAAGAAUAAGCACCGGCUAACUUCGUG
rnacentral:rRNA from 1 species